GAGUUUGAUCCUGGCUCAGGAUGAACGCUAGCGGCAGGCUUAACACAUGCAAGUCGAGGGGUAUAGGUUUUCGGACCUAGAGACCGGCGCACGGGUGCGUAACGCGUAUGCAAUCUGCCUUUUACAGAGGGAUAGCCCAGAGAAAUUUGGAUUAAUACCUCAUAGUAUUAUGAAGUGGCAUCAUUUUAUAAUUAAAGUUCCAACGGUAAAAGAUGAGCAUGCGUCCCAUUAGCUAGAUGGUAAGGUAACGGCUUACCAUGGCGACGAUGGGUAGGGGUCCUGAGAGGGAGAUCCCCCACACUGGUACUGAGACACGGACCAGACUCCUACGGGAGGCAGCAGUGAGGAAUAUUGGUCAAUGGGCGCAAGCCUGAACCAGCCAUGCCGCGUGCAGGAUGACGGUCCUAUGGAUUGUAAACUGCUUUUGUACAGGAAGAAACACUGGUUCGUGAACCAGCUUGACGGUACUGUAAGAAUAAGGAUCGGCUAACUCCGUG
rnacentral:rRNA from 1 species